GAUGAACGCUGGCGGCGUGCCUAAUACAUGCAAGUCGAGCGAACAGACGAGGAGCUUGCUCCUCUGACGUUAGCGGCGGAAGGGUGAGUAACACGUGGAUAACCUACCUAUAAGACUGGGAUAACUUCGGGAAACCGGAGCUAAUACCGGAUAAUAUAUUGAACCGCAUGGUUCAAUAGUGAAAGACGGUUUUGCUGUCACUUAUAGAUGGAUCCGCGCGGGAUGAGCUAGUUGGUAAGGUAGCGGCGUAUCAAGGCGACGAUGGGUAGCCGACCUGAGAGGGUGAUCGUCGACACUGUAACUGAGACACGGUCCAGACUCCGAGGGGAGGCAGAAGUUGGGAAUCUUCGGCAAAGGGGGAAAGACUGAAGGAGCAACGCCACGUGAAUGAUGAAGGUCUUCGGAUCGGAAAACUCUGUUAUUAGGGAAAAACAAAUGUGUAAGUAACUAUGCACGUCUUGACGGUACCUAAUCAGAAAGCCACGGCUAACUACGUG
rnacentral:rRNA from 1 species